rnacentral:rRNA from 1 species
GACACUAUGUGUUGUUGGGUAGGGGAGCGUUCUGUAAGCCUGCGAAGGUGUGCUGUGAGGCAUGCUGGAGGUAUCAGAAGUGCGAAUGCUGACAUAAGUAACGAUAAAGCGGGUGAAAAGCCCGCUCGCCGGAAGACCAAGGGUUCCUGUCCAACGUUAAUCGGGGCAGGGUGAGUCGACCCCUAAGGCGAGGCCGAAAGGCGUAGUCGAUGGGAAACAGGUUAAUAUUCCUGUACUUGGUGUUACUGCGAAGGGGGGACGGAGAAGGCUAUGUUAGCCGGGCGACGGUUGUCCCGGUUUAAGCAUGUAGGCUGGUUAUCCAGGCAAAUCCGGAUAAUCAAGGCUGAGGUGUGAUGACGAGGCACUACGGUGCUGAAGUAACAAAUGCCCUGCUUCCAGGAAAAGCCUCUAAGCAUCAGGUAACAUCAAAUCGUACCCCAAACCGACACAGGUGGUCAGGUAGAGAAUACCAAGGCGCUUGAGAGAACUCGGGUGAAGGAACUAGGCAAAAUGGUGCCGUAACUUCGGGAGAAGGCACGCUGGUGUGUAGGUGAAGUCCCUGCGGAUGGAGCUGAGACCAGUCGAAGAUACCAGCUGGCUGCAACUGUUUAUUAAAAACACAGCACUGUGCAAACACGAAAGUGGACGUAUACGGUGUGACGCCUGCCCGGUGCCGGAAGGUUAAUUGAUGGGGUUAUCCGUAAGGAGAAGCUCUUGAUCGAAGCCCCGGUAAACGGCGGCCGUAACUAUAACGGUCCUAAGGUAGCGAAAUUCCUUGUCGGGUAAGUUCCGACCUGCACGAAUGGCGUAAUGAUGGCCAGGCUGUCUCCACCCGAGACUCAGUGAAAUUGAACUCGCUGUGAAGAUGCAGUGUACCCGCGGCAAGACGGAAAGACCCCGUGAACCUUUACUAUAGCUUGACACUGAACAUUGAGCCUUGAUGUGUAGGAUAGGUGGGAGGCUUUGAAGCGUGGACGCCAGUCUGCGUGGAGCCAACCUUGAAAUACCACCCUUUAAUGUUUGAUGUUCUAACGUUGGCCCCUGACCGGGGUUGCGGACAGUGUCUGGUGGGUAGUUUGACUGGGGCGGUCUCCUCCCAAAGCGUAACGGAGGAGCACGAAGGUUAGCUAAUCCUGGUCGGACAUCAGGAGGUUAGUGCAAUGGCAUAAGCUAGCUUGACUGCGAGCGUGACGGCGCGAGCAGGUGCGAAAGCAGGUCAUAGUGAUCCGGUGGUUCUGAAUGGAAGGGCCAUCGCUCAACGGAUAAAAGGUACUCCGGGGAUAACAGGCUGAUACCGCCCAAGAGUUCAUAUCGACGGCGGUGUUUGGCACCUCGAUGUCGGCUCAUCACAUCCUGGGGCUGAAGUAGGUCCCAAGGGUAUGGCUGUUCGCCAUUUAAAGUGGUACGCGAGCUGGGUUUAGAACGUCGUGAGACAGUUCGGUCCCUAUCUGCCGUGGGCGCUGGAGAAUUGAGGGGGGCUGCUCCUAGUACGAGAGGACCGGAGUGGACGCAUCACUGGUGUUCGGGUUGUCAUGCCAAUGGCACUGCCCGGUAGCUAAAUGCGGAAGAGAUAAGUGCUGAAAGCAUCUAAGCACGAAACUUGCCCCGAGAUGAGUUCUCCCUGAGACUUUAAGUCUCCUGAAGGAACGUUAAAGACGAUGACGUUGAUAGGCCGGGUGUGUAAGCGCAGCGAUGCGUUGAGCUAACCGGUACUAAUGAACCGUGAGGCUUAACCUUACAACGCCGAAG